AGCCACAGCUAUAUCACGCUGUAGCCCAAGACCGAUUACUCACUGAAGUUAAGCAGGGCUGAGCCUGGUCAGUACCUGGAUGAAAGGCCAUAUGGGAAAACUAGGUUACUGUUGGAA
rnacentral:rRNA from 1 species